AAUAAAAUCACUUUUCAGUUUUUUGAUACAAUGUUUUAACUCUUCGUCUUAUUUGAAAUUUUUCUGCGAUUAAUAUUUUUAUUCUUACUAGAUGAUAAAACAUGAAUGGUGCUUUAUGUGUGACUAAUUUUUUUAAGUUUUUUAUAAAUUUUUUAAAUAAGAUGAAUGGUGAAACGUUGUGCACUGAAAA
rnacentral:pre_miRNA from 1 species